rnacentral:rRNA from 1 species
CAAUAGUGUAUAUUAAUUCUGUUGUGGUUAAAAAGCUCGUAGUCGGAUUUCGGAGGUUGGACGUCAAGGCCCGUCUAAAUGGCGUGGCCCGACGGCUGCCUCCUCUUUCCGGGUGACGGCCCCGUGGUCUUUGCGGACUGUGGUGUGCUCGUUCCCGGUCGUUUAUUAUGACAAACCCAGCGUGUUCAAAGCAGGCGUAAUUGCCUUGAAUGCUACAGCAUGAGAUAAUGGAAGAUGACGAUGGUCUUAUUUUGUUGGUUUAUAAGGCUGCCGUAAUGAUUAAUAGGGCCAGUUGGGGUCACUCGUAUUGAGUUGUCAGAGGUGAAAUUCUAUGAUUUGCUCAAGACGAACUACUGCGAAAGCAUGUGACAAGCAUGGUUUCAUUGA